UGGGGGUGCCUCUGGUCCAUUUUGGUGCCGAGAGGAACCGCCAUCUUGAAUGGAACCUGUGUGGCAUUAGGUUGUCGUGCAGGGGAUGCUCAUCAUUUACUGUGAAAAAAUCAGCGCGUUCAAAGCAGGCUUAUGCCAUUGAAUGUAUUAGCAUGGAAUAAUAAGAUAGGACCUUGGUACUAUUUUGUUGGUUUGCGCACCGAGGUAAUGAUUAAUAGGGACAGUUGGGGGUAUUCGUAUUCCAUUGUCAGAGGUGAAAUUCUUGGAUUUCUGGAAGACGAACGACUGCGAAAGCAUUUACCAAGGAUGUUUUCAUUAAUCAAGAACGAAAGUUAGGGGAUCGAAGAUGAUUAGAUACCAUCGUAGUCA
rnacentral:rRNA from 1 species